rnacentral:rRNA from 1 species
CCUACGGUUGGCUGCAGUGAGGAAUAUUGGUCAAUGGGCGCGAGCCUGAACCAGCCAAGUAGCGUGAAGGAUGACUGCCCUAUGGGUUGUAAACCUCUUUUAUAAAGGAAUAAAGUGAGGCACGUGUGCCUUUUUGUAGGUACCUUAUGAAUAAGGCUCGGCUAACUCCGUGCCCGCAGCCGCGGUAAUACGGGGGGUGCAAGCUUUUUCCGGAAUCAUUGGGGGUAAAGGGGUCGUAGGUGGCACGUUAAGGCUGGUGUUAAAGUCGGAGGGUCAACUUCCGUAGGGCAGUUGAUACUGGCGAGCUUGAAUGCGCUAGAGGUAAAGGGAAUGCCUGGUGUAGCGGUGAAAUGCGUAGAUAUCAGGAGGAACAUCGAUGGCGUAGGCACUUUACUGGGCCGUAAUUGACGCUGAGGAACGAAAGCCGGGGUAGCAAAUGGGAUUAGAUACCCCGGUAGUC